AUCAAAAAUGACGUGCAUGGGCUAUGGAACAGAGGGCACGGUUUACUGUACACACGGCAAAGCACUCUUUCUUCCUUGUCUGGCUCUUGAAGAAUCUCACAGCAUUGGCCCCCACUGAGGAUUCUCUUAGAAACCUGAAUCAGUGGGUGUCUGCCAGAACGCACCAUCUUCUUCAGUGACUGCAGGUAGUUUUCAAACAUGAAGCCACUACAAUUUUCCAGACAACCAAAGUUUUCUGCAUCACUUGCAAUGUGCAGCAUGGUAUGGGUGUUGUACACGAGGAACUCCUGUCCAUAGAGUGCCCUACCUUUUUCCACAAAGUAUUGCAGCAGGUCAUUGGCAUAUUUGGAAUGUUCCUGCACAAGACUUGGGCAUACUAGGAUUGCCAUGGCCACAUUGAAAGAAAGGAAGUCUCCUCAAGACCGCUAGGCUUUCGCACAAAUGCAGAGGAUGAGCAGGAGCCUUUUCAUUACACCGAGACAAGCCUGGUGCAUGUAAUCAAUGGGAAAGCACCUCACCAUGUCUAUGGGGAGGUGAGACACAGGUGUGUUCCCAUGGUGAUGCUGAAAUUGGGUUUGAUUUCUAAAUGCUUCAUCUGUCCGUAGGAUGAGGUCAGCAGUCUCUUGGUAUGUGACUCUGUUUAACCACACACCUUUUUGCUCACAUCGGUCACAGCCAAAGUACCCGGAAUACAGUUUGAUAUUUUUCACUAAUGCACGAGCUGGAGCAUCACACACAAAGCACCUCAGAUUGACUUUUAUUUUUCUACCCAUGAAGUUAAUCCCGCCAUUCAUCAGAUGACCCAGGUCCCUUACUGUGUCUUCUAAAAAGCCAAGAUCUGUUGGUCGACUUGCACCACAUGUCAGAGCUGUGGGGAAAAUGGUAACAGGAUCUAGCAUGACUGCGCAAAGGACUGGCCACAUACAUGUUUUGGAGCUUUUGUACAGUGGUAAUCCAUCAACGUUCAGGUAUAAAUCAACACAGUCGAGUUUGACUACUUCAUCAAGUGGGUAACUUUCUAAUGUUUCUUGUAAUUUCUGCUUUAGUGGAAAGUAAACGUAUUCCAUUCCAGAUGAUUGCUGUGUCAAGUUGCCGGGGAGUGUGCAAAAGGGUCCGGGCAGUUGAGGGUAAUUCACUGUGUCCAUGCCUUUUUAACAAUUUAAAAAGGUUGUCAAGUGCAUUGUGUUUUAUCUGGUAUUCAAUGGCCCAAGCGGACAGCCCUUCUGCCAGUGACAUGUGCUCACUGUCGUCGUCUUCAAGGUAAAAGGCCAAGGAUUCAUUCAAGCUGUUAAUUACCUCCCAUGUUGUUGCUAUUGCCUGUUCUCU